rnacentral:rRNA from 1 species
GACGAACGCUGGCGGCGUGCUUAACACAUGCAAGUCGAACGGAAAGGCCCUGCUUUUGUGGGGUGCUCGAGUGGCGAACGGGUGAGUAACACGUGAGUAACCUGCCCUUGACUUUGGGAUAACUUCAGGAAACUGGGGCUAAUACCGGAUAGGAGCUCCUGCUGCAUGGUGGGGGUUGGAAAGUUUCGGCGGUUGGGGAUGGACUCGCGGCUUAUCAGCUUGUUGGUGGGGUAGUGGCUUACCAAGGCUUUGGCGGGUAGCCGGCCUGAGAGGGUGACCGGCCACAUUGGGACUGAGAUACGGACCAGACUGCUACGGGAGGCAGCAGUGGGGAAUAUUGCACAAUGGGCGGAAGCCUGAGGCAGCAACGCCGCGUGCGGGAUGACGGCCUUCGGGUUGUAAACCGCUUUCGCCUGUGACGAAGCGGGAGUGACGGUAAUGGGUAAAGAAGCACCGGCUAACUACGUG